CUGCAACUCGCCUGCAUGAAGUUGGAAUUGCUAGUAAUCGCGAAUCAGAAUGUCGCGGUGAAUACGUUCCCGGGCCCUUGUACACACCGCCCGUCACACCAUGAGAGUCGAUAACACCCGAAGCCUGUGAGCUAACCUUUUAGGAGGCAGCAGUCGAAGGUGGGGGUUGAUGAUUGGGGUGAAGUCGUAACAAGGUACC
rnacentral:rRNA from 1 species